CCCACAGCCCUCAGCAGGCUUCUCCCUCCUCCCCUUGCUCCUACAGGGCCUGGAGGCAACUCAUGGUGCCAAGUGCUCAAGUCUGGUGGGUGUCUUCCCAGCAGGACCUUGGGGUCCCUAAUGGCCUAUUCCACUGGGGAGCCUAGGGCUGGGUUUCCUGUAGGUGCCCGUGGGAACUCAGCAAUGGACUGAAUCCUCAGCGGUAGCCCCUUGGCCCCCUCCCUCUCCCCGGUCCCCACACCUGCCGGCCUCAGGAAUUCCUGCCUGUGGGGGCAGCCCUGCCCCAGGCUCUGCAGGCAGGAGCCCGGCUCCUUCCAGGCUGCGCAAACUCGGGGCCUGGUCUCAGCAAACGACCUGCCCAGGGAACUCUCAGCAACUUCGCACCGGUCACCAGCCAAGGCUCCUUUCUCUUCAAGGAACUGACAGCCAUUCUGUGAGUCAGUAACUGGGGACAAAGGGAAAGGGUGGCCUCAUGUGACAGCUACAGUCAUGCGGGAAGGCGCAUCUGCUUCUGUUUCUCCAGAGAGACUGUCUCCUCCGGCGGGAAGGAGGCCCCAGUCACAAUCCAGGUGCCACAUGGACGCAGUGUCCCUGGCCGGGGACCAAGACGACCACCUGAACAGUGGAGAGACACUGUACUGGGAGCAACUGGCUCCCCCUUUGAUGAGCCAGUCUCUCUGAACCUCUGAGCCUCAGUUUCAAGACUAUGGCCUCAAGAACCCUAAGAAUCCUCCAUGUUGUGAUUUCCAGAAAUUCCUCUGUGUGGAGAAGCGCUGAGGGGUGGCCACGUCCUAAAGGAUCCACGAGGGGUGUCCCACUCAGCACGGCCUGUCCCUCUGGCCGCAAGGAAGCUUGCAGCCCUGGCUGUGGGGUUCCAACCCUAGCUCUGCCUGUCACUGGCCCACGACCCAACUCUCUGACCAUGUUUCACAGAUGAGGAGACCUGAGGCCCCAGGAGGGAAGGAAUGUCCCCAAGAUCGUGAGCCUGUCCCUGAGCCUGCUGGCCCACAGCUCUGGGCUCCUUCCCCGUCUUCCCCAGAGGACAGACUCACCCCGAAGGGUCAGCAUCCUAAAGAGGGCCAGGAUGUGCAGGGGUGUUCGGGGUUCAAGGCCUGGGAUGAUAGCAGCGCUGCUCACAGCCCGGCUGGCAAGGCAAGGCCAGUUCCUCCACCCAAGAGCGUUUAUGGCUGCACGGCUGACUCCGUGGGUCUGGAGACCUGCGUCCCCACCUGGGUAAUGGGAAUGAUGAUAACACCAGCACCAGCGUCCAGUCCCAGGACGUCCGGAGAACGUGAGAGGCUGAUGGUGGUGCCUGGCCUGGCCCCGUGGGUGGGAGCCCAGCUCCGGGAGGGGGCUGGGGCGGGGCUGAGAGCCUGCACUGAGCCGCAGGGGCAGGGCACAUCUCCGGGAUGGCUCAGCCCACCUUGCCCACAGCGACACACACGCUCGGCGUCUGCAUUCUGGAGCCUGACAGCGGCUUGUCUGUCCCACCAGAAGAGACUUCCCUAAUGGGUUCCAGUGGUAGCACAUUGGACUAUGGACAGCCAGCCAGUAGUGGGCCUGGAGCAAAGCCUCAGCUUCUGCUCUAGUUUGGCAAUAGCCCGGCUGGACCCACCCCAGGGGCGCGGCAGCUUCUGCACUGGGGACCCCUGGGGCCUGGUGUAGACCUUCUGCCCCUGACCCUUAGGCCGCAGGGACACCCCCCUCCUAGGAAGGUAACUCCCAGGGUCUGCCUCAUCAAAGCCCCUGGGCCUGGUUAGCACCAGGUCUGGUCACCCUACUCUGCAAGGGUUCUGGAAGGUGUGAGGGGUGAUCUCACCCUGUCUAUGUCCUAGGAGAUGGGGAGACGGUGUCCAGAGGGAGAGAACACUGGCUGGGGAUGUCCACGCUGGGGCCCCGGAUGCCCUGCUAGUCCGUGGUGCUGCCCGGGUUUAACCACAGCAUCUGUUACUUACCACAAGGCAGCAGCAGACCAAAUGCCGUUUACCUAGUACCUCACGGAGUCCUCAGGACGCCCCAUGGAGGAGAUCACGUGACUGGCAGACGGAACCACCAGGAUUCUAAGGCCAAGCCUCUGGUUCCAGUCUUCCCCUCAACCACCACGCUCUUCUGCCUUCUUCCUGAGCUGUGGAGGGAUGACCGCCUCUCCUGUGCCCCCACAGCACCUUCACUUCGGGUGUUAACAGGAGCCCUGGGAGUCCCCAUCCUGAGAAGCCCUCACACCAGGCGUGCCAGCUGGUGUGGGUCCUGGCCGGUCUGGCCUAGAAGGGUUCGACAGACCCAGGAUUGAAGAUGUUCCCCUGCCAAGGUCUCUGGGGUCCAGACCUCCCAUUCCGGGUGAGGGGGAGGCCCUGAGGCAGCCCAAGGACACCGCGCAGGCUUCCUCUGAGGCUUACACAGGCCCUCAUGCUUGCUUGCCUCCCGGAUCUGCAGAAUAUAGCAUUUUGCUGUUUAUAAGGGUGAGAGGCCCCAAUCUGGCUUGCCCCUGUGGUUGUGCAGCCUUAGCCUGGGUCAACGGACCAGGAGGGGCCAAUAUCCUGAUUUCCAAGUUCAAGGUUCAUGGGCCUGGAGGAAAAGGCUCUUGCUCCUAUAAUCUGCUGAGCCAAGCCCCAAAUGGACAGUCUUUUUUAAUUCACCAGAGGUGCUGCAUGGGCUCAGUGUGAGCCUGCCUCAAAGGAGGGGGUACAGUUCCUCCAAGAGCCCUGGAGCAGGCCUCCUGUCUGGCUCUCUGGCCCAGGUCUCUCUCCUCCCCAGGGGCCUGCAAGUUUCCGCAGGCUCUCACUGAUCUCUCCUUCUGGCAACAGGGACCAUGCCUUCUGGUCUGAAAUCAGGACUUGAACUCGGACAAAGGCAGUAUUGAUGUAUGAAUCUAGAAAUAAGGAAAUCCUCACGGUUGGAGAGCAUGGUUCAUUCUAGUUUGGGGCGAUUCUGAGUAAAGUCACCAUAUCCGUACCACGGAAUACAACUCAGCAAUAAAAAGCAGCGCACUCCUGAUACACCAGCAGCUUGGCUGGGGCUCAAAGGCAGUCUCCGAAAUGAAAGAAGCUGGCUCAAAAAGCUUCAUGCUAUAUGAUUCCGUUCCUAAGACAUCUGGGAAAGGCAAAAUUCCCGGGACAGAAAACAGAUCAGUGGUCGCCAAGGGGCCAGGCGCCAAGGAGGGUCUGGGCGACAGAGGGGUACCGGGGAUUUUUCAGGGUGCUGAAGCUGUUCUGUGCUGUACUGGGGAGGGCAGUACAUGGCAGUCCGCGUUUGUCAAAGAAUUGUACGACAAUCAGAACAGGUUUUCCUGUAUGUAAAAUAGAUCUCAAUUUAAAAAAAAAAAAAAAACA